rnacentral:rRNA from 1 species
AAUAUUUGACAAUGGGGGGAACCCUGAUCCAGCCAGGCCGCGUGUGUGAAGAAGGACUUAGGAUUGUCACGCACUUUAAGUUGGGAGGAAGGGUUGUAGGUUAAUACCUUGCAAUUUUGACGUUACCAACAGAAUAAGCACCGGCUAACUUCGUGCUAGCAGCCGCGGUAAUACGAAGGGUGCAAGCGUUAAUCGGAAUUACUGGGCGUAAAGCGCGCGUAGGUGGUUCGUUAAGUUGGAAGUGAAAGCCCCGGGCUUAACCUGGGAAUUGCUUUCAAAACUGACGAGCUAGAGUACGGUAGAGGGUAGUGGAAUUUCCUGUGUAGCGGUGAAAUGCGUAGAUAUAGGAAGGAACAUCAGUGGCGAAGGCGACUACCUGGACUGAUACUGACACUGAGGUGCGAAAGCGUGGGGAGCAAACAGG